rnacentral:rRNA from 1 species
UACGUAGGGCGCAAGCGUUAUCCGGAAUUAUUGGGCGUAAGAGACGUAGGCGGUUUGUCGCGUCUGCCGUGAAAGUCCGGGGCUCAACUCCGGAUCUGCGGUGGGUACGGGGCAGACUAGAGUGAUGUAGGGGGAGACUGGAAUUCCUGGUGUAGCGGUGAAAAUGCGCAGAUAUCAGGAGGGAACACCGAUGGCGAAGGCAGGUCUCUGGGCAUUAACUGACGCUGAGGAGCGAAAGCAUGGGGAGCGAACAGGA